rnacentral:rRNA from 1 species
CGCUAUCAUCCUACGGGAGGCAGCAGUGGGGAAUAUUGCACAAUGGGCGCAAGCCUGAUGCAGCCAUGCCGCGUGUAUGAAGAAGGCCUUCGGGUUGUAAAGUUACUUUCAGGCAGUGAGGAAGGCAGGUACGUUAAUAGCGUGCUUGUUUGACGUUAGCUGCAGAAGAAGCACCGGCUAACUCCGUGCCAGCAGCCGCGGUAAUACGGAGGGUGCGAGCGUUAAUCGGAAUUACUGGGCGUAAAGCGCAUGCAGGUGGUUCGUUAAGUCAGAUGUGAAAGCCCGGGGCUCAACCUCGGAAUUGCAUUUGAAACUGGGCGGACUAGAGUACUGUAGAGGGGGUAGAAUUUCAGGUGUAGCGGUGAAAUGCGUAGAGAUCUGAAGGAAUACCGGUGGCGAAGGCGGCCCCCUGGACAGAUACUGACACUCAGAUGCGAAAGCGUGGGGAGCAAACAGGAUUAGAUACCCUGGUAG